AUUGAACGCUGGCGGCAUGCCUUACACAUGCAAGUCGAACGGCAGCACGGGGCAACCUGGUGGCGAGUGGCGAACGGGUGAGUAAUGCAUCGGAACGUACCUUUCGGUGGGGGAUAACGUAGCGAAAGUUACGCUAAUACCGCAUAUUCUGUGAGCAGGAAAGCAGGGGAUCGCAAGACCUUGCGCUGAUUGAGCGGCCGAUAUCAGAUUAGCUAGUUGGUGAGGUAAAGGCUCACCAAGGCGACGAUCUGUAGCGGGUCUGAGAGGAUGAUCCGCCACACUGGAACUGAGACACGGUCCAGACUCCUACGGGAGGCAGCAGUGGGGAAUUUUGGACAAUGGGGGCAACCCUGAUCCAGCCAUGCCGCGUGAGUGAAGAAGGCCUUCGGGUUGUAAAGCUCUUUCGGCCGGGAAGAAAUCGUGCGAGUUAAUACCUCGUGCGGAUGACGGUACCGGCAUAAGAAGCACCGGCUAACUCCUUGCCAGCCGCCGCGGUAAAAC
rnacentral:rRNA from 1 species